rnacentral:rRNA from 1 species
AACGAACGCUGGCGGCAGGCCUAACACAUGCAAGUCGAGCGAGCAUUUCGGUGCUAGCGGCGGACGGGUGAGUAACGCGUGGGAACGUGCCCUUUUCUGCGGAAUAGUCCUGGGAAACUGGGGGUAAUACCGCAUACGCCCUUUUGGGGAAAGAUUUAUCGGAGAAGGAUCGGCCCGCGUUGGAUUAGGUAGUUGGUGGGGUAAUGGCCCACCAAGCCGACGAUCCAUAGCUGGUUUGAGAGGAUGAUCAGCAACACUGGGACUGAGACACGGCCCAGACUCCUACGGGAGGCAGCAGUGGGGAAUCUUAGACAAUGGGGGCAACCCUGAUCUAGCCAUGCCGCGUGAGUGAUGAAGGCCUUAGGGUUGUAAAGCUCUUUCAGCUGGGAAGAUAAUGACGGUACCAGCAGAAGAAGCCCCGGCUAACUCCGUG